rnacentral:misc_RNA from 1 species
UUGAAUUACUGGGGGCUGGAUGCUGGCAGUCUAUCUAUGAUUGUAUGUGCUCGCUCUUUUUAAUCCACUUACACAUGUGCAUUCAAUUUUUUGAAGACGGGGUAAUGCCCGUCUUUGGAACUUUAUUAAACUCUCUACUCGAUGUAAUGAAUAUUUUUAUCUGCUGAAAGGUAGAAUUUAAUA